GGUGAACGCUGGCGGCGUGCUUAAGACAUGCAAGUCGAACGGCAGUCUUCGGACUGUAGUGGCGCACGGGUGAGUAACGCGUAACUGACCUACCCCAAAGUCGCGGAUAACGAUUCGAAAGAACCGCUAAUACGUGAUGUGCUGUCAGAUUGUGUUCUGCCAGUAAAGAUUGAUUGCUUUGGGAUGGGGUUGCGUUCCAUCAGCUAGUUGGUGGGGUAAAGGCCCACCAAGGCGACGACGGAUAGCCGGCCUGAGGGGGUGGCCGGCCACAGGGGCACUGAGACACGGGUCCCACUCCUACGGGAGGCAGCAGUUAGGAAUCUUCCACGAUGGGCGAAAGCCUGAUGGAGCGACGCCGCGUGAGGGAUGAAGGUCUUCGGAUCGUAAACCUCUGAAUCAGGGACGAAAGACACUUCGGUGGGAUGACGGUACCUGAGUAAUAGCACCGGCUAACUUCGUGCCAGCCGCCGCCGUAACAC
rnacentral:rRNA from 1 species